rnacentral:rRNA from 4 species
GGUUAAGCGACUAAGCGUACACGGUGGAUGCCCUGGCAGUCAGAGGCGAUGAAGGGCGUGCUAAUCUGCGAUAAGCGCCGGUAAGGUGAUAUGAACCGUUAUAACCGGCGAUACCCGAAUGGGGAAACCCAGUGUGACUCGUCACACUAUCAUUAACUGAAUCCAUAGGUUAAUGAGGCGAACCGGGGGAACUGAAACAUCUAAGUACCCCGAGGAAAAGAAAUCAACCGAGAUUCCCCCAGUAGCGGCGAGCGAACGGGGAGGAGCCCAGAGCCUGAAUCAGCAUAUGUGUUAGUGGAAGCGUCUGGAAAGGCGCGCGAUACAGGGUGACAGCCCCGUACACAAAAGCGCAUGUGCUGUGAGCUCGAUGAGUAGGGCGGGACACGUGGUAUCCUGUCUGAAUAUGGGGGGACCAUCCUCCAAGGCUAAAUACUCCUGACUGACCGAUAGUGAACCAGUACCGUGAGGGAAAGGCGAAAAGAACCCCGGCGAGGGGAGUGAAAAAGAACCUGAAACCGUGUACGUACAAGCAGUGGGAGCACCCUUUGGGGUGUGACUGCGUACCUUUUGUAUAAUGGGUCAGCGACUUAUAUUCUGUAGCAAGGUUAACCGAAUAGGGGAGCCGGAGGGAAACCGAGUCUUAAUUGGGCGUUAAGUUGCAGGGUAUAGACCCGAAACCCGGUGAUCUAGCCAUGGGCAGGUUGAAGGUUGGGUAACACUAACUGGAGGACCGAACCGACUAAUGUUGAAAAAUUAGCGGAUGACCUGUGGCUGGGGGUGAAAGGCCAAUCAAACCGGGAGAUAGCUGGUUCUCCCCGAAAGCUAUUUAGGUAGCGCCUCGUGAAUUCAUCUCCGGGGGUAGAGCACUGUUUCGGCUAGGGGGCCAUCCCGGCUUACCAACCCGAUGCAAACUGCGAAUACCGGAGAAUGUUAUCACGGGAGACACACGGCGGGUGCUAACGUCCGUCGUGAAGAGGGAAACAACCCAGACCGCCAGCUAAGGUCCCAAAGUCAUGGUUAAGUGGGAAACGAUGUGGGAAGGCCCAGACAGCCAGGAUGUUGGCUUAGAAGCAGCCAUCAUUUAAAGAAAGCGUAAUAGCUCACUGGUCGAGUCGGCCUGCGCGGAAGAUGUAACGGGGCUAAACCAUGCACCGAAGCUGCGGCAGCGACGCUGAUGCGUUGUUGGGUAGGGGAGCGUUCUGUAAGCCUGCGAAGGUGGCCUGUGAGGGUUGCUGGAGGUAUCAGAAGUGCGAAUGCUGACAUAAGUAACGAUAAAGCGGGUGAAAAGCCCGCUCGCCGGAAGACCAAGGGUUCCUGUCCAACGUUAAUCGGGGCAGGGUGAGUCGACCCCUAAGGCGAGGCCGAAAGGCGUAGUCGAUGGGAAACGGGUUAAUAUUCCCGUACUUGGUGUUACUGCGAAGGGGGGACGGAGAAGGCUAUGUUGGCCGGGCGACGGUUGUCCCGGUUUAAGCGUGUAGGUGUGUGUUCCAGGUAAAUCCGGUUCACUUUAACACUGAGGCGUGAUGACGAGGCACUACGGUGCUGAAGCAACAAAUGCCCUGCUUCCAGGAAAAGCCUCUAAGCAUCAGGUAACAUCAAAUCGUACCCCAAACCGACACAGGUGGUCAGGUAGAGAAUACCAAGGCGCUUGAGAGAACUCGGGUGAAGGAACUAGGCAAAAUGGUGCCGUAACUUCGGGAGAAGGCACGCUGACACGUAGGUGAAGUGAUUUACUCAUGGAGCUGAAGUCAGUCGAAGAUACCAGCUGGCUGCAACUGUUUAUUAAAAACACAGCACUGUGCAAACACGAAAGUGGACGUAUACGGUGUGACGCCUGCCCGGUGCCGGAAGGUUAAUUGAUGGGGUCAGCGCAAGCGAAGCUCCUGAUCGAAGCCCCGGUAAACGGCGGCCGUAACUAUAACGGUCCUAAGGUAGCGAAAUUCCUUGUCGGGUAAGUUCCGACCUGCACGAAUGGCGUAAUGAUGGCCAGGCUGUCUCCACCCGAGACUCAGUGAAAUUGAACUCGCUGUGAAGAUGCAGUGUACCCGCGGCAAGACGGAAAGACCCCGUGAACCUUUACUAUAGCUUGACACUGAACAUUGAGCCUUGAUGUGUAGGAUAGGUGGGAGGCUUUGAAGUGUGGACGCCAGUCUGCAUGGAGCCGGCCUUGAAAUACCACCCUUUAAUGUUUGAUGUUCUAACGUGGACCCGUGAUCCGGGUUGCGGACAGUGUCUGGUGGGUAGUUUGACUGGGGCGGUCUCCUCCUAAAGAGUAACGGAGGAGCACGAAGGUUGGCUAAUCCUGGUCGGACAUCAGGAGGUUAGUGCAAUGGCAUAAGCCAGCUUGACUGCGAGCGUGACGGCGCGAGCAGGUGCGAAAGCAGGUCAUAGUGAUCCGGUGGUUCUGAAUGGAAGGGCCAUCGCUCAACGGAUAAAAGGUACUCCGGGGAUAACAGGCUGAUACCGCCCAAGAGUUCAUAUCGACGGCGGUGUUUGGCACCUCGAUGUCGGCUCAUCACAUCCUGGGGCUGAAGUAGGUCCCAAGGGUAUGGCUGUUCGCCAUUUAAAGUGGUACGCGAGCUGGGUUUAGAACGUCGUGAGACAGUUCGGUCCCUAUCUGCCGUGGGCGCUGGAGAACUGAGGGGGGCUGCUCCUAGUACGAGAGGACCGGAGUGGACGCAUCACUGGUGUUCGGGUUGUCAUGCCAAUGGCACUGCCCGGUAGCUAAAUGCGGAAGAGAUAAGUGCUGAAAGCAUCUAAGCACGAAACUUGCCCCGAGAUGAGUUCUCCCUGAGACUUAGAGUCUCCUGAAGGAACGUUGAAGACGACGACGUUGAUAGGCCGGGUGUGUAAGCGCAGCGAUGCGUUGAGCUAACCGGUACUAAUGAACCGUGAGGCUUAACCUU